rnacentral:rRNA from 1 species
AGUCAACAUGCCCAGGGGACGUGGAUAACCUCGGGAAACUGAGGAUAAACCGCGAUAAGUCACUACUUCUGGAAUGGGUAAUGACUCAAAUCUAUAUGGCCCCUGGAUUGGACUGCGGCCGAUCAGGCUGUUGGUGAGGUAAUGGCCCACCAAACCUGUAACCGGUACGGGCUCUGAGAGGAGGAGCCCGGAGAUGGGCACUGAGACAAGGGCCCAGGCCCUAUGGGGCGCAGCAGGCGCGAAACCUCUGCAAUAGGCGAAAGCUUGACAGGGUUACUCUGAGUGAUUUCCGUUAAGGAGAUCUUUUGGCACCUCUAAAAAUGGUGCAGAAUAAGGGGUGGGCAAGUCUGGUGUCAGCCGCCGCGGUAAUACCAGCACCCCGAGUGGUCGGGACGUUUAUUGGGCCUAAAGCAUCCGUAGCCGGUUCUACAAGUCUUCCGUUAAAUCCAACUGCUUAACAGGUGGGCUGCGGAAGAUACUAUAGAUCUAGGAGGCGGGAGAGGCAAGCGGUACUCGAUGGGUAGGGGUAAAAUCCGUUGAUCCAUUGAAGACCACCAGUGGCGAAGGCGGCUUGCCAGAACGAAUCACUAGUGAAUUCGCGGCCGCCUGCAGGUCGACCAUAUGGGAGAGCUCCCAAACGC